UACAGAGGUCCCAAGCGUUGUUCGGAUUCAUUGGGCGUAAAGAGCGUGUAGGCGGCCCGGUAAGUCCGCUGUGAAAGUCGGGGGGCUCAACCCUCGAAUGCCGGUGGAUACUGUCGGGCUAGAGUGCGGAAGAGGCGAGUGGAAUUCCUGGUGUAGCGGUGAAAUGCGCAGAUAUCAGGAGGAACACCGAUUGCGAAGGCAGCUCGCUGGGACGUUACUGACGC
rnacentral:rRNA from 1 species